CUGGGCUUGGCUGCCUGGGCUCACUCAGCUCCUGAUUUUCCAGUAAGGUGGUCGCCUGCAGAGAACGGCCCUAUGGCUUGGUUUCCAGAUAUCUGGAGAAAAGUGUGCUUUCUCUUCUUCCAUGAAAUCACAAAUUUCUCUAGAUAUUUGGAAACCAAGUCACAGGGUUGUAGGAUCUACUUUUUGAACUUUUCAUCCCCUGUAGUUGCCAAUUCUGCAUGUACUAGUCUUGUAGAAAUAAGUUAAACUGAAGCAGCUUGAGGGAAGGAACUUGAUGGAAGGAUGGAGAGUCUACAGGGCUUGUUUUCCAAAGAAAAGUGUUGUUUGGAGGAGCAUAAUUAUAAGCCUACAGCUUAUCAUAAAGCUAUUCAAAAAAAAAAAAAAAUGGCCAGGCAUGGUGGCUCAUGCCUGUAAUCCCAGUGCUUUGGGACGCUGAGGUGGGCGGAUCACCUGAGGUCAGGAGUUCGAGACCAGCCUGGCCAACAUGGUAAAACCCUAACUCUACUAAAAAUACAAAAAUUAGCUGGGCAUGGUGGCAGAUGCCUGUAAUCCCAGCUAUUUGGGAGGCUGAAGCAGGAGAAUCGCUUGAAUCUGGGAGGCGGAGGUUGCAGUGAGCCGAGAUCGCACCACUGCACUCCAGCCUGGGCAAAAAGAGCGAAACUCCAUCUCAAAAUAAUUAUAAUAACAAUAAUAAUAAUAACUCAGAGCCAGGCUUGUGGAUGGAAAUAUAGUGCCCAAGUCACAUUCUGCUUAAAGUUGUAACAAAUACAGACGAGUUAAAAGAAAAAAAAAAGUACGCUUUCUGAGUCAGCCCCAAGGGCUCUCCUUGGCAGCACGGGUUUCCUGCCGGUGAAAUGUCCUAGUUGCCUAGGACCCGGGUCCCCAAGGGCAGAGCUCACAGUGAAAGGCAAAGGGUCAGUGUGUGUGAGACAGCAAUGGUGCUGGGUAUCAGGCUGAACUCCAAAGCAGAUUCUCUCACCUCUGUCCUGGACCCUCGAUCCCUGGCCCCUGGCGUGGCAGAUGCUUCCCUUCUCACCUGCAGCUCGAGCUCUCGACGAUGAAAACUCAGUCCAGGAGCAACAGAGGAAACACAUCUUUCCUGGGCACUGCCAGUGGGUGCUGCCCACCGAGUGUGCCUCACCAUUCUGCAUGGAAAUCUUAAAAAUCAAGCUUGUCUUCUUCCCUUUCUCCCUGAAUGAAACACACAGAGCAGGAUCUCACCGUUUCAUGGGGGCUCGGUGUCAUCACCAGGGACAGUCCUCAUAGGUCUGUGUGAUCAGAAGCCGCUGAGAGCUGGGGUUAGGGCUCCGGCAUGCAAUGCCUCCACACAGCUGUGCUUUCUUAGUUCGGGGAUCUGCUCUCUGCAGCUCUUCUUUUUCUCCCUCGAUAUCACUCUGUCACUUGUCACUGCUAUCAUUGAACCUGCCUCUGGUCAUUGCCAUUUCUACUUCUGACACGUGGCAGCUACUCUUUGUGGUUGUUAAAACUAGACAAGCAUACUUGUUCUCAUUACGCAUAAAGCAAGAGUCGCUGGGCACCAAGUGAGGGUCUAUGGCGCUCUUCCACGUUGCAGCUCAGAGGCCUUUCAUUACAUCUGAAUUCUGGGAUUCGCUUUGGAGAAGAGGUUGCCAUGAAAGUGACAUGUUAUUGUUCUUGCUUUCUAGGGUUGACUGCAGACCAAGUCAACAAUACCACAAAAUCCCAUUGGAGGGAGCCAUUGCUAGGAAUUUUCCCAACUCCAAAUAGAACUCGUAUAUGAAAUUAUACAUACUGAGCAUUUACAUACAGAUCAUAUAAAAAUUCUAGACAUUAUUCCCUAGUCACAUGUAGUACACAUUUAGUAUAAAUAGACUAAGACAACACUGUAUAAAAAGUAAG
rnacentral:lncRNA from 10 species